AAUAAGCGGAGGAAAAGAAACCAACAGGGAUUGCCUUAGUAACGGCGAGUGAAGCGGCAAAAGCUCAAAUUUGAAAUCUGGCACCUUCGGUGUCCGAGUUGUAAUUUGAAGAAGGUAACUUUGGAGUUGGCUCUUGUCUAUGUUCCUUGGAACAGGACGUCACAGAGGGUGAGAAUCCCGUGCGAUGAGAUGCCCAAUUCUAUGUAAAGUGCUUUCGAAGAGUCGAGUUGUUUGGGAAUGCAGCUCUAAGUGGGUGGUAAAUUCCAUCUAAAGCUAAAUAUUGGCGAGAGACCGAUAGCGAACAAGUACAGUGAUGGAAAGAUGAAAAGAACUUUGAAAAGAGAGUGAAAAAGUACGUGAAAUUGUUGAAAGGGAAGGGCUUGAGAUCAGACUUGGUAUUUUGCGAUCCUUUCCUUCUUGGUUGGGUUCCUCGCAGCUUACUGGGCCAGCAUCGGUUUGGAUGGUAGGAUAAUGACUAAGGAAUGUGGCUCUACUUCGGUGGAGUGUUAUAGCCUUGGUUGAUACUGCCUGUCUAGACCGAGGACUGCGUCUUUGACUAGGAUGUUGGCAUAAUGAUCUUAAGCCACCC
rnacentral:rRNA from 1 species